rnacentral:rRNA from 1 species
AGUGAACGCUGGCGGUAGGCCUAACACAUGCAAGUCGAACGGCAGCACAGUAAGAGCUUGCUCUUACGGGUGGCGAGUGGCGGACGGGUGAGGAAUACAUCGGAUUCUACUUUUUCGUGGGGGAUAACGUAGGGAAACUUACGCUAAUACCGCAUACGACCUACGGGUGAAAGCAGGGGAUCUUCGGACCUUGCGCGAUUGAAUGAGCCGAUGUCGGAUUAGCUAGUUGGCGGGGUAAAGGCCCACCAAGGCGACGAUCCGUAGCUGGUCUGAGAGGAUGAUCAGCCACACUGGAACUGAGACACGGUCCAGACUCCUACGGGAGGCAGCAGUGGGGAAUAUUGGACAAUGGGCGCAAGCCUGAUCCAGCCAUACCGCGUGGGUGAAGAAGGCCUUCGGGUUGUAAAGCCCUUUUGUUGGGAAAGAAAUGCAGCAGGUUAAUACCCCGCUGUUCUGACGGUACCCAAAGAAUAAGCACCGGCUAACUUCGUG